UGGGGAAUUUUGGACAAUGGGCGAAAGCCUGAUCCAGCCAUGCCGCGUGAGUGAAGAAGGCCUUCGGGUUGUAAAGCUCUUUUAGUCGGAAAGAAAGAGUUGCAAUGAAUAAUUGUGAUUUAUGACGGUACCGACUGAAAAAGCACCGGCUAACUACGUGCCAGCAGCCGCGGUAAUACGUAGGGUGCGAGCGUUAAUCGGAAUUACUGGGCGUAAAGGGUGCGCAGGCGGUUUUGUAAGUCAGAUGUGAAAUCCCCGGGCUUAACCUGGGAAUUGCGUUUGAAACUGCAAGACUAGAGUGCAGCAGAGGGGAGUGGAAUUCCAUGUGUAGCAGUGAAAUGCGUAGAGAUGUGGAAGAACACCGAUGGCGAAGGCAGCUCCCUGGGUUGACACUGACGCUCAUGCACGAAAGCGUGGGGAGCAAACA
rnacentral:rRNA from 1 species